UACAGAGGGUGCGAGCGUUGUCCGGAAUCACUGGGCGUAAAGGGCGCGUAGGCGGCCUGAUAAGUAGGGGGUGAAAUCCUGUGGCUCAACUGCAGGGCUGCCUCCUAGACUGUCGGGCUUGAGCACGGUAGAGGCAGAUGGAAUUCCCGGUGUAGCGGUGGAAUGCGUAGAGAUCGGGAGGAACACCCGUGGCGAAGGCGGCCACCUGGGCCGACCCUGACGCUGAGGCGCGAAGGCGUGGGGAGCGAACGGG
rnacentral:rRNA from 1 species